GACGAACGCUGGCGGCGUGCUUAACACAUGCAAGUCGAACGGAAAGGCCCUGCUUUUGUGGGGUGCUCGAGUGGCGAACGGGUGAGUAACACGUGAGUAACCUGCCCUUGACUUUGGGAUAACUUCAGGAAACUGGGGCUAAUACCGGAUAGGAGCUCCUGCUGCAUGGUGGGGGUUGGAAAGUUUCGGCGGUUGGGGAUGGACUCGCGGCUUAUCAGCUUGUUGGUGGGGUAGUGGCUUACCAAGGCUUUGACGGGUAGCCGGCCUGAGAGGGUGACCGGCCACAUGGGGACUGAGAGACGGCCCAGACGCCUACGGGAGGCAGCAGUGGGGAAUAUGGCACAAUGGGCGGAAGCCUGAUGCAGCAACGCCGCGUGCGGGAUGACGGCCUUCGGGUUGGAAACCGCUUUCGCCUGUGACGAAGCGUGAGUGACGGUAAUGGGUAAAGAAGCACCGGCUAACUACGU
rnacentral:rRNA from 1 species